rnacentral:lncRNA from 1 species
UCUAUGAGGGCAGCACCGAUCAUCCCCUCCUCUUGCGGUUGCCCCUGGAACAUUCCUGUACUCUAAUAAUGAAUGUCACGGUCAAUGUUACCCUGAUCAAAGGUAUUUCGAGUACAGUAAAGAGAAAGAAAGAGUUUGGAUUGAUAGCAAGGAGGAAGAAAGAAGAUUUGGGGGUGUGAAUUUAGAUAGUUCAGAGAGAAGAGGGAGAGAUCUGGGAGGUAGAUCUGGGGGAGAGA